UACAGAGGGUGCAAACGUUGUUCGGAAUUACUGGGCGUAAAGCGCGUGCAGGCGGCCUUGCAAGUCGGACGUGAAAUCCCACGGCUCAACCGUGGAAGUGCAUUCGAAACUGCGAGGCUGGAGUCCUGGAGAGGAAAGUGGAAUACUCGGUGUAGAGGUGAAAUUCGUAGAUAUCGAGUGGAACACCGGUGGCGAAGGCGGCUUUCUGGACCGAUACUGACGCUGAGGAGCGAAAGCCAGGGGAGCAAACGGG
rnacentral:rRNA from 1 species